GUUACACGCUGUCUCCGAAUCCGUACACGAGUGUUUUGGCUGAAGAACAUUAUUCGAAUUGUAUUAAAAAAUUAGUUGAUACACUUUGUGGCGCUUAUCAGGAAUUUCUCGCAGAUACGACGAUACCAAAUAACUUUAAGCAAAGUCCACAAAACGUAUCAUCACCCAUGAAAAUGUUUGGCCGGGACAAAAAAACUUCCGACAACAUGGAAAGACCGUUAUGUGACAAAGUAAUAAUGGAAUCAAUCAACAAACAGG
rnacentral:misc_RNA from 1 species